rnacentral:rRNA from 1 species
UACGUAGGGGGCGAGCGUUGUCCGGAUUUAUUGGGCGUAAAGAGCUCGUAGGCGGUUUGGCAAGUCGGGUGUGAAAACUCCGGGCUCAACUCGGAGACGCCACUCGAUACUGCUAUGACUCGAGUCCGGUAGGGGAGUGCGGAAUUCCUGGUGUAGCGGUGAAAUGCGCAGAUAUCAGGAGGAACACCGGUGGCGAAGGCGGCACUCUGGGCCGGUACUGACGCUGAGGAGCGAAGGCGUGGGGAGCGAACAGG